UGUUUUAUAUAUAUUAACUCAUCCACUCCUCACCCACAAGAGACAGAAAGCAUCACUAUGCUGCUCUUGAUGUCACAGACACACAGGCAGUAAAGUAUUGUGUCCAUGGUCACUAAGCCAAAACAUGGCAAAGCCAGGCUUCCAACCCAGGCCUUGCUGAGAGACUGAGGACCAGCCACAGACAAAAAGAAGAAGCAGGACACACCAGUGCUGCCUGGUCAUGGGACACAGGUACCAGUGUCCACAUCAGGAGAUGUGAAGAACUACACUCACCUGAGCCUGAGCGUGGAGGGAAGGCCAUACACAUCACCAGUGUGCUGGCAAGGAGCUCCCUAACAGACCCCAUCUUCUUCACUCUCAUUCAGCCAUCAGAAAGGAGGUACCAUGGCUGUCAGCUCUCCUCUGUUCUGAUGACCAAGAGCCUAACAGUCAGCAGUUUCCAGGCAAGUCACAGGAAAAGAAAUCUUGAGAAAUAUGGAAAUAAUUCCAGUCAUAGUUGCCAACCUCAGAGAGAUGUUUUCCAUGACUGAACAAAUGCAGAUCUGACUUGAAUUCUACUACCCAUAAGGAGAGAUUAUGUGCUUUGAUUUAUAAAUUAGAUACAAGCUCUCAGUUACUGCUCCAGC